rnacentral:tRNA from 1 species
ACCUGGCUGGCUCAGUCAGAAGAGCAUUUGACUGUUGAUCUCAGGGUUGUGAGUUCAAGCCCCACGUGGGGUG